ensembl:rRNA 5S_rRNA 5S ribosomal RNA
GCUUACGGCCAUACCACCCUGAACACGCCCGAUCUCGUCCGAUCUCGGAAGCUAAGCAGGGUCGGGCCUGGUUAGUACUUGGAUGGGAGACCGCCUGGGAAUACCAGGUGCUGUAAGUU